UCUGGCUUAUAGCCCAGCGGUCCCUCUAGAGUGCCCAACUGAAUGAUGGUAACUAGAGGCAAGGGUUGCGCUCGUUGCGGGACUUAACCCAACAUCUCACAACACGAGCUGACGACAGCCAUGCAGCACCUGUCUCCGCGCGCCCGAAGGCUACCCGCUGUUUCCAACGGUUACACGGGAUGUCAAGCCUGGGUAAGGUUUUUCGCGUAGCAUCGAAUUAAACCACAUGCUCCACCGCUUGUGCGGGCCCCCGUCAAUUCCUUUGAGUUUUAAUCUUGCGACCGUAAUCCCCAGGCGGAAUACUUAAUGCGUUAGCUGCGUCACCGAGACAAUUAGGUAUCCCGACAACUAGUAUUCAUCGUUUAGGGCGUGGACUAC
rnacentral:misc_RNA from 1 species